CAGGGGCUCAACCCCUGACCUGCAUCCGAUACGGUCGAGCUAGAGUUUGGUAGGGGAGACUGGAAUUCCUGGUGUAGCGGUGGAAUGCGCAGAUAUCAGGAGGAACACCGAUGGCGAAGGCAGGUCUCUGGGCCAAUACUGACACUGAGGAGCGAAAGCGUGGGGAGCGAACAGGAUUAGAUACCCUGGUAGUCCACGCCGUAAACGGUGGGCGCUAGUUGUGCGAACCUUCCACGGUUUGUGCGACGCAGCUAACGCAUUAAGCGCCCCGCCUGGGGAGUACGAUCGCAAGAUUAAAACUCAAAGGAAUUGACGGGGCCCCGCACAAGCAGCGGAGCAUGCGGCUUAAUUCGACGCAACGCGAAGAACCUUACCAAGGCUUGACAUAUACAGGAAUAUGGCAGAGAUGUCAUAACCGCAAGGUCUGUAUACAGGUGGUGCAUGGUUGUCGUCAGCUCGUGUCGUGAGAUGUUGGGUUAAGUCCCGCAACGAGCGCAACCCUCGUUCUGUGUUGCCAGCAUUAAGUUGGGGACUCACAGGAGACUGCCGGGGUUAACUCGGAGGAAGGUGGGGAUGACGUCAAAUCAUCAUGCCCCUUAUGUCUUGGGCUGCACGCAUGCUACAAUGGCUGGUACAAACGGCUGCGAUACCGCAAGGUGGAGCGAAUCCGAUAAAGCCAGUCUCAGUUCGGAUUGGGGUCUGCAACUCGACCCCAUG
rnacentral:rRNA from 1 species